rnacentral:rRNA from 1 species
UACGGAGGAUGCAAGCGUUAUCCGGAAUGAUUGGGCGUAAAGCGUCCGCAGGUGGCUGUGUAAGUCUGCUGUCAAAGAGCAAAGCUCAACUUUGUAAAGGCAGUGGAAACUACACGGCUAGAGUGCGUUCGGGGCAGAGGGAAUUCCUGGUGUAGCGGUGAAAUGCGCAGAUAUCAGGAGGAACACCGGUGGCGAAGGCGGGAUCCUGGGCCAGUACUGACGCUGAGGAGCGAAAGCGUGGGGAGCAAACAGG